rnacentral:rRNA from 1 species
AAAUAGAUACCCCGGUAGUCCAUGCCGUAAACGUUGGGCACUAGGUGUGGGGCCAGUUCCACUGGUUCUGUGCCGCAGCUAACGCAUUAAGUGCCCCGCCUGGGGAGUACGGCCGCAAGGCUAAAACUCAAAGGAAUUGACGGGGGCCCGCACAAGCGGCGGAGCAUGCGGAUUAAUUCGAUGCAACGCGAAGAACCUUACCAAGGCUUGACAUGUACGAGAAAGCCCCAGAGAUGGGGUUCUCUUUGGACACUCGUACACAGGUGGUGCAUGGUUGUCGUCAGCUCGUGUCGUGAGAUGUUGGGUUAAGUCCCGCAACGAGCGCAACCCUUAUCCUAUGUUGCCAGCGGGUUAUGCCGGGGACUCAUGGGAGACUGCCGGGGUCAACUCGGAGGAAGUGGGGAUGACGUCAAAUCAUCAUGCCCCUUAUGUCUUGGGCUUCACGCAUGCUACAAUGGCCGGUACAGAGGGCUGCGAUACCGUGAGGUGGAGCGAAUCCCGAAAAAGCCGGUCUCAGUUCGGAUCGGGGUCUGCUAACCG